GGCAGCAUGGUAUAGUAGUUUGAAUGUAAGACUACUACUCUGGAGGCCAGGGAUCGAUUCCAUGCUUGGUCC